rnacentral:lncRNA from 1 species
GCCUCACGGCAGAGGCUACACAGCAUGCAGGCUGCCGGGCAGGGUGUGGAAGGCCAGCAUCAGAACACUGAGAGGGACUAUACAAGAUCGUAUGACUGAGUGGGAGAUGGAAUUUGCAGGUGAUGCUCCCACUCUCCCAAAGCUAACUUCACUGCAUGAUAGACUCUUCAACAUGGAGACCCGGAUUAAGAAGGCAGCGCUAUGGAAAGUCACCAACUAUCUUCUCAGCAGAAAACCCACCCGUCAUCUCACACAUGGGGCUGACUAUCUGAGGGCCACUUAACUGGACAUACGGCCCAAGUCACAGGCAACCAAGAAGUUGAUGUUUCUAAAGGUGAAUGUGCAAAGACACGAUGGAGCCGGACCGGGGACAACAGUCAACAUCAGACUUUUAAAAUAAGAUUAUUUUGUUAUGACUUUAACAUUAAGUAUUCAGCUAUUCCCUCUACUACUGUUCCACAGAUUAACAAUUAGGUUUCUUGACUGGUUGGUUUUCAGCUUCUACUAAUGACUCUACUGAUUAUACCAGGAACAUACAUUUUUUUAAAACUAGAAAUGAUUGGUUCUUUGGCAUCCCAAUGUCUACUUUUCAGGCAACAUUAAAAUAUUAGUUUUAAUAUGUAUCUUUCCUCCUAACUAUAUUAUUGUUUCAUCAACUCUUACAUAAAAAUUAUUUUGCCUCAAUUGUAUUACAAUGUGGUUUAUACUCUUAACUGCUACCAUAAUGAAAGGAUUCUCAAAGUGCUUGGCACGCAUGGUCUAAAGCUUUCUCGCAGCAGCACAUGGCGACCACAAGCACACUGUGAACUGUGCAUGAGUUGGGUUGUGAGCUUAUAUCUGACCCCAGAACGUAAAUUAAUAACAGCUAUAGCAACCCUUGCU